UCACUGGUGUUCGGGUUGUCAUGCCAAUGGCACUGCCCGGUAGCUAAAUGCGGAAGAGAUAAGUGCUGAAAGCAUCUAAGCACGAAACUUGCCCCGAGAUGAGUUCUCCCUGAGACUUAGAGUCUCCUGAAGGAACGUUGAAGACGACGACGUUGAUAGGCCGGGUGUGUAAGCGCAGCGAUGCGUUGAGCUAACCGGUACUAAUGAACCGUGAGGCUUAACCUUAC
rnacentral:rRNA from 2 species